rnacentral:rRNA from 1 species
GGAUGCAAUCAUACCAGCACUAAAGCACCGGAUCCCAUCAGAACUCCAAAAUUAAGCGUGCUUGGGCGAGAGUAGUACUAGGAUGGGUGACCUCCUGGGAAGUCCUCGUGUUGCAUUCCC